UACGGGGGGGGCAAGCGUUGUUCGGAAUUACUGGGCGUAAAGGGCUCGUAGGCGGCCAACUAAGUCGGAUGUGAAAUCCCCAGGCUUAACCUGGGAAUUGCAUCCGAUACUGGAUGGCUUGAAUCCGGGAGAGGGAUGCGGAAUUCCAGGUGUAGUGGUGAAAUGCGUAGAUAUCGGGAGGAACACCAGUGGCGAAGGCGACUGCCUGGCCUGUUCUUGACGCUGAGGCGCGAAAGCUAGGGGAGCAAACGGG
rnacentral:rRNA from 1 species